rnacentral:lncRNA from 1 species
UAUUAUUAUUAUUAUUAUUAUCCAGUGGUCUACAGUGUCUUUAAUGCUAUGAUCAUUGCUGCCAUUCAUCCACUGGAAUACUGUAGAAUGUUAACGCUCCAGAUGGUCCCUCUCUCCUACAAACCCUGUCCCUGUCUUCAUUUCAUAAGAUCUCAGUCUCUCCUGACUUAACGAAACUGUGUCUCCACUAAAACCUACCACAUCAUUGCAGUUGAUUUAGGGAUUUGUUUUGCCAUGUUCUCCUUGUAUCAUUGCCAAAAUUUUAUGUCAAAAGCCGACCAAGAGGGUCCCGCCCACCCAGCAGCUCCAGGACCCGCCUGUUAGCCAAGAAGAGGAGCUAGAGAGAGGGAGGUACGGUGGACUGACAAGAUGAGAAAAAGGAACAAAAUAUGUCAGACCUUUUUUCGGCCAUUUUUCUGUUGCUAAGCUAACGAGAGGCGGAGACUGGGAGGAGUCUAGCAAUGUUUAUAUUACUAGUAUGGGAAAAACUAAACCGUUGAAUAUGAAACAGGAGGACAUGUCCUGAAGCCACACCCAGUCCAGGACUAGUUAUCCCAUACAGUGUAUACUCCCUCCAGCUGAAGGUCAUGUGAUCAGUGACUCCGCCCUAUUGUACCCCCACUAUAAUAACGGAUUGGUAAUAGUGUAUUAUGAUAAGAAUGGGAAUGGAAAAAUGAGGAAUGAAGAACAGGAACCAAAAACCACAAAUUUAAUUGUCAUUUAUAAGGUUUCUGAGAGAUACUAUUCAUUAGCCAAUUUUGUCGUGUCGGAACUGGUUGAUCCUGCCCACUAAUGAGGACAAACCGGUUUAUCUGGUUUCUGAUAGUUCACUAUCAGUGUUGGCUUUCCUUUUAUCACAAGAAGACUUUGUAGCAAAAGUGUUAAUGUAUGGUAGUGCAUCAGUAGCUGAGGAGGUGUGUCACUUGAACCGCUGGGACCAAUGUUCCCUCCCUCUCAAUGCACCGGAGACUGGACUGGAACUGAGGCAGUUGGACAUAGUGUCAUUCUUCCUUAGGAACAGAGGUAAAGGAUAUACUAUUUAUAGUAAUACUGAUACUAUGUACUUAGUAGCACCAAGAGUGGAUAAGGAGGAGGGGAGAGUGUCUAACUGCCCUAUGCUGCUAGUGAUAUGUGCGCGUAGAAGUUUCAUGGUUAUUAUUUGUACAUUCCCGCAUACCUUAUUUAGCACAAUAAGUGAUAACUGCAUGCACCGAUCUGAAGCCAUAGUUGGGCGUGUACUUAAGUUAACUGUAAUAUAAAAAUGGCUGCUGAACUGAGCAGCAAGAGACCAUACAGAGACCUUGGAAGCAGAAUUUGACCUCACCUUGUUGUACCAGUCACUUUGUACCACUCUGAAGAGAUUUGUAGUUUCCAAGCACACAAACCAUGUUUGUUAUUGACACAUGAAAAGCUCUUGAUCAAUGAUCAUCCUCCUUUAGUCUGGUCCCUUGGGACCCACAUCAAGAGUAAGGAUAAUAAUAGAAGUGAAAGAAUAUGUGGUACAUGUACUUUUGAGACGGGCUGUUAACUGCUGUUGAUCUUAAAAACGAAGUAUUACAGAUCUGAGUUCACUGGAGCAGAGGCUUCUGACUCUUGACUCCAUGUCCUCUUUCUUGAUGCUUCAGGGCGCUUAGGUGUAGUGGCAUGACGCUCAUCAAGAUUAGAUGCUCUCAAUCUGUUGUAACAGUCAUGAUCAUCUGGAUUGUGCUGUAGUUCUGACUCUUCCUCUUGAAACAUCGUGACUACACGUGUGGGUGGGUGCACCAUAUAGGUUAUUAAAAACACACCCAUUUACUAUCAUGGCUGUUGAUGUUUAAACAGGUCAAAGAA